rnacentral:lncRNA from 1 species
GUACAGCUCGGCCUCCCCUCCCCCACAGGUCCCCCCCAUCCCCUGGGCAGGGCUGGCCACAGACGCUGCGCAGGGACCCCUGCCCCUCAGCCCCCCCACCCCCCCGGGAGGCUCCGGUGCCCUCCCCUACCUGCGUCCUGUGCCGGGGCUCCCGGGGGGGAUGCGGCCGGGUGCCGGGUGCUGGCGGCGCGCACCCCAUGGAGAGGCGAGGGGCGCGCUGCCCGGCACGCUGCGGAGGCGGCCGCGGCGCAGGGACCGCCAGCACCCCCCGCAUCCUCCGCAGCGUUGGCCUGGCAACAAGCAGCGGGAGGAGGAUGCUCGGCGGGGCCGGCGCUGGGCUGGUGCUGAGCCCCCCCCCCCGGCCAGGGGGUCCCCGAGCCCCCCAGGGCCUCAGCAGGACCGGGAAUGGGGCGUGCGGCUGCCGGCACCCCGCGGUUCCUUCCCCGCCGGGGCUGCCCCUGGGACCCUCAGCCCACAGGAGAGCUGCUGCUAAGGGGGGGGUCCCCUGAGCCACCCCCGCUCAGCCCCGGCAGCCAGGAGGGGACAGCCACCGGCCACCGGCUGCACCGGGCAGCGGCUGCAGCACACAGCAAGGGGCGAGCUGGGAACGAGCCCAGGCCCCGCAGGGGGCUCCAGGCUGUUCAGUGUCACGGUCACGCUGUGGUUGCUCUCAGCCUCCUCAGUGCUCAGGCUGGCCCGUCCAGGCUGGUUAGAGAGAAAAAUAUUUUAUUUUCUCCACGCAAGGCUCUGCCUUUUCAUCGUGCUCCUGGGAGCUGCCCGGGGAAUCACCGCCCACACCGCGGUGCUGGAUCACCAGCUCUGCUCGGCACAAACUGCUGGGAGCAGCAUGCGGGGCUGGGAGGCAGCGCUUGGCGAGGGCAAGUUUGGUUCAAGGGGCCAAAGUCUGGCACAGUUUGGAAGAUCUUGGUUCAGGAGAACAGGACCAUCCCCAGCUCAGCCUCCCCGGUCCUGCUCCAGCCUCCUGCCCCUUCCCAGCUGGGGCCUGGACCCGUCACCGCAGCUCCCGCUCAGCCGUGGGCACGGCCUUGGCUCUGCCCAGCCCUGGGCUCCUGCUCUCUGUGCCCUUGCUGCAGGCCCGCUGGGUGCCGAGCAGUGGCAGGCGCUGCAGGACUCCCCCGGUGGGAAACGGGCCCCCUCCUGGCACCAGGGCUGCCCGGGGGGCCCAGCCCAGCUGGUGCUGCUGCCCCACGGGACGGGGUCAGCCCCACACCUUGCUGCUCGUCCUCAGCCCUGCAGCCGGGGGCUCCCCCAGCACCCUGCAGGCUCCCUGCAGCCCGGCUGCCCCCAGGCAGCUGCAGGAGGCCAGAG